rnacentral:rRNA from 1 species
ACGGGAGGCAGCAGUGGGGAAUAUUGCACAGUGGGCGCAAGCCUGAUGCAGCGAUGCCGCGUGAGGGAAGGAGGUUUUCGGAUUGUAAACCUCUGUCAACAGGGACGAAAAUGACGGUACCUGAGAAGGAAGCUCCGGCUAACUACGUGCCAGCAGCCGCGGUAAUACGUAGGGGGCAAGCGUUAUCCGGAAUUACUGGGUGUAAAGGGAGUGUAGGCGGGACUGUAAGUCAGAUGUGAAAUAUGCCGGCUCAACUGGCAGACUGCAUUUGAAACUGCGGUUCUUGAGUGAAGUAGAGGUAAGCGGAAUUCCUAGUGUAGCGGUGAAAUGCGUAGAUAUUAGGAGGAACAUCAGUGGCGAAGGCGGCUUACUGGGCUUUAACUGACGCUGAGGCUCGAAGGCGUGGGGAGCAAACAGGAUUAGAUACCCUGGUA